GUUCUGUUCAUUGCCUCUGAGUCACCUGGCAUUGGCCACUGUCAGGAGAGAGGAUACUUGGCUAGAUGGACCAUUGGUCUGACCCAGUCUGUCUGUUCUUAUGUUCUAUGUUCCCCUGUUACCGAGCCACCCUCUCCCUGUUGCAUAAAGAGAUGGCAGCCGAGAGGCAGAAGAUGGUCUGGGAGUGGCAGGAGCUGCGAGGGUUUCUGGAGGAGCAGGAACAGCGGCUGCUGUCCCAGCUGGAAGAGCUAGAGAGAGCCAUUGUCCAGAGAAGGGAUGAGGGCAUCUGCAGACUGUCCUGGGAGAUUUCCCUGCUCAGUGAGAGGGGAGGAGAGAAGGGGCAGCAGCCGCUGAGCCAACCCCUGCAGGGUGCUGGGAGCACUGGGGGCAGGUACGUCCUGGGCUCCAUUUUGCUCCCCCUUAUGGGCCAUUAGGUUUGAUAACUGCACUGAAUAGGAAGCUUCCCCCUGCCCUUGGAGCAUGUGAUUCUGUCUCCCGUAGUGGCUGACUCAGGUAGGAGAAGAGCCGGUCACAGUCUGAUCGCUAAAGAGGUCAGAGCAGGGCUGCUAGACACAGGGCCGAUGGGACCAACCUGGCCUGUCUCCUGAACCGAUGUGGCCACAUCACGUAUUCAGAGGGUGCAGAAAUUCAGCUUUCACAUUUUUUAAAGGGAGUUCCUGGCCCUCAGCAUCUCCCCAGUGUAAACGGAGACAGUGUUGCCUUGCUGGGGCUGCCAGAAGCCCGAAGCCGUAGCUCAGAGAGUGUGAACUCUCCUGUCCCCUGUUAAUGUCAUCGGAGUGUCAACUGAAGUGACGACACUUUGAUGUCAACAUUCAACGUUCCCUGGCUGAUCACCUGAGCAGCUGGAACGGGGACGGGGCGGGAGUGAAGCCUUUGCUUGGUGGGAAUAGGACAAUGGUUCUCAAACUGGGGGUCGGGACCUCUCAGGUUAUUACAUGGGCGGUCGUGAGCUGUCAGCCUCCACCCCAAACUCCACUUUGCCUCCAGCAUUUAUAAUGGUGUUAAAUAUAUUUAAAAGUGUUCUUAAUUUAUAACGGGUCGCACUCAAAGGCUUGCUAUGUGAAAGGGGUCACCAGUACUAAAGUUUGAGACUCACUGGAAUAAGGGGUUGCUGUAGGGAGGGAAGAACAGAGGAGAGACACAAGGACGAGGAAGCAAGAGAGAAAUGGAGAAAGGAGGGUGGGAAAGAAAGGGAAGAACUAGCAGGGGCCCUACAGGGGUGUCUGGGAAGGGGGCUGUUUUCCUCCUGAGUGAUACUGAGUGUGAGAGACAAAGACUUAGCAAAAUACUAAGAACUAAAAUUAUAUUUCCUACACGAGGGGCAGAUUUUCCCCUUGUUUUUUGUAUGUGGGUGUGCCAUGGAGAGCAGUGGGUGUUCUGCUGUGAAUGGAGCAAGGCACGGAGGCCUAAACUGAUGCCCUGGGCCACUGACCAUAAUGGACAGUGCAAUAUGGCCCUCUCUGCCAAAUGAGCUGGACACCACAGGGUUACUGCUUCAGCUGAAGGGCUCAGGGGUUUUGGCAUUAAAGGACCCAGUUUCAUUCCCCGCUGAAGACCUGGGCUCUGUCUGUGGCCGCUGUCGGCAUGUAGGACCUGCCCACACUUUGGUCUGUGUCUCCUCCUGUUCCAUAUAAUUCCAGUGCAGGUGCCUCUUCUUACUGCAGUAAACCAGCGUGGGAGGUGGCUCAGCACCCCACAGAACCAGAGCGUCCCUGAGAAAGCUCCUGAACAAUGUCUCCGUUCCUUGCUCUGGUGUCUCCCCACUUCCCAUCUCUCUGGAGAGCACAGGGUUGAGGGCAGGUGACUCACCGUGACAAUGACCAUCUCGGGCUACAAAGCUCAGAUCCAGGUUUCCUGGAGUUUGGGGGUUGCUGGGCUCCGGGUCUGGGGAUCAGGCCUAUUUCUCACCCCUCCUUUCCCUAGCAGGGAGGAUGGGACUUUUUGGAAGCCGGAGCCGGGGUUUGUGGAGCAGGAGAAGAGACUCAGCGAUUUCUCUCUGAAAAGUGCCAUGCUGCAAGAGGUGCUGCUGGGAUUCAAAGGGGAAUUGGAGUCUGGGGGUGGCGUCUCCUCUGGUUAGAGCGACCCUGGCCCUGGGGAGGAGUCGGAGACUCUAGUGAUGUCACUGAUCCUGGGCUCCAUCUCGCAGCCCCAGCUCAGCGGGUCGCCCUUCCCCAUGGGAGUAGCCCUGUGUGGCUGGCUCUGUCUGCAUCGGCUGCGUUAUCGGCCUCGGUCUGUGUCACCAUCCCGUAGUUAACAGCGGUUCCAUUAAUAACCAAUGGGAACCUCCCCAGGAAUGCGAGAGCCUGAAUUCUCACCUCUCCCGUCCUCUCCUUCCCUUAGAGAUGCAGCGACGGGAGCUGGGGAGCGACACAGGUACGUGUCUCUCACUGGUGGGCCGGGGGGAGAUUUCAGAGCAAUAACCAUGUUAGCGACAGGGGAUUGCAGCCUCCAGCCCUUGGAAGCUGUGGAAUAACGUGAAGCGAUGUUACUUUGUUCCUGCACCACUGUAUUUUCAACUGACUUGUCUCUUCAAUAUUUUAGCUCAUGAACGUCACAUAAGCAUUUAAAGUUUUUCACAGCGUUUUUUCAGUACUCUAUUUUUGCUUUUGCUUUUUUUAAUUAUUGCAUUUUUUUACGGCCUAAAUUAAUUUUAGUAAUUUUAUUUUGACAUUUUUAAUUGCAGUAAUACUGCAAGAGUGGUUUUUUUUAAUUAAGUUUACACCGUCUGAUUUUAAAGCUUUUUUUUAUUUUAAGACCACUGAGAUUUUGACAAUUUUUCCUGUUUUUGAAUGUCUGCUUGGUACUUUUUUUAAAAAGCACAGAGGCUGAGCAUAUGUAUUUGAAAGUUGUUCGUAUAGUUAGAGGUUUUUAGCUUUUUUGUGCUUUAAAAAAAGGCUUUUUGUAUUUGUUGUGACUUUUUAAAAUGCGUAAUGUAUUUACAUUUUUAACUUACUAUUUUAGUGCACUUUUCACUCUUGGGACAGGUUGUAGUUGAUUUUUACACUUUAAAUUAAUAAAACCGCGAUUAGCAGAUAAUUUUGU